AUUGAACGCUGGCGGCAGGCCCAACACAUGCAAGUCGAGCGGUAACACAGGGAGCUUGCUCCCGGGUGACGAGCGGCGGACGGGUGAGUAAUGUCUGGGAAACUGCCUGAUGGAGGGGGAUAACUACUGGAAACGGUAGCUAAUACCGCAUAAUGUCGCAAGACCAAAGAGGGGGACCUUCGGGCCUCUUGCCAUCAGAUGUGCCCAGAUGGGAUUAGCUAGUAGGUGGGGUAACGGCUCACCUAGGCGACGAUCCCUAGCUGGUCUGAGAGGAUGACCAGCCACACUGGAACUGAGACACGGUCCAGACUCCUACGGGAGGCAGCAGUGGGGAAUAUUGCACAAUGGGCGCAAGCCUGAUGCAGCCAUGCCGCGUGUAUGAAGAAGGCCUUCGGGUUGUAAAGUACUUUCAGCGGGGAGGAAGGUGUUGAGGUUAAUAACCUCAGCAAUUGACGUUACCCGCAGAAGAAGCACCGGCUAACUCCGUGCCAGCAGCCGCGGUAA
rnacentral:rRNA from 1 species